CCAGUGUCUAGGGGUGAAUAGAUGGCUAAGAUAGUCUUGUGGUAUCUAAAUGGCUUGCUAUUUAAAGGCAAAAUUAUCUGUAAGAGAUGGUGGAAAGGGGCUGGAGUUGUGGCUCAUUGUUAGAGCACUCACCUAGCACAUGUGAGGCACUGGAUUCAAUCCUUAGCACAACACAAAAAUAAAUAAAAUAAAGGUAUUAUGUCCAACUAUAGCUAAAAAAAUAAAAGAGAUGGUGGGAAAUUGCUUAAAGAAGGAAAUUUUAUGUAUUGAGGAGAAGCUCUCAGUUAUUGAAUAUAUGAAAGUUCUUUUAACUCUUCAAGACCAGAAACAUUUUUGCAUUCAAACCAUCCAAAGAAGUUGGUCAUGAGGCCAGGCUUGGGAGGCUAAGACAAAAGGAUCCCAAGUUCAAAGCCGCCUUAGCAAAACCAAGUUGCUAAGCAACUCAGUGAGACCCUGUCCCUAAAGAAAAUACAAAAAACGGCUGUGGAUGUGGCUCAGUGGGUGAGUGCCCCUGAGUUCAAUCCCUGGUACCCCCAAAGAUAAAUAAAUAAAUUGGUUAUGGUAAGAUUGACAGUUAAGUAU
rnacentral:lncRNA from 1 species